rnacentral:rRNA from 1 species
AAUGAACGCUGGCGGCGUGCCUAACACAUGCAAGUCGUGCGCGAAAGCGGCUUCGGCCGCGUGUAGAGCGGCGAACGGGUGAGUAACACGUGGACAACCUGCCCAAGAGUGGGGGAUAACCUGGGGAAACUCGGGCUAAUACCGCAUACGUUCCCGGGACUUCGGUUCCGGGCAGAAAGAUGGCCUCUACUUGUAAGCCAUCGCUCCUGGAGGGGUCCGCGGCUGAUUAGCUAGUUGGUGAGGUAAUGGCUCACCAAGGCGACGAUCAGUAGCCGGCCUGAGAGGGUGAACGGCCACACUGGAACUGAGACACGGUCCAGACUCCUACGGGAGGCAGCAGUGGGGAAUAUUGGACAAUGGGGGAAACCCUGAUCCAGCAACGCCGCGUGGAGGAUGAAGGUCUUCGGAUUGUAAACUCCUGUUAGAGGGGACGAAGGAACGCCGGUGAAUAUCCGGCGGACUUGACGGUACCCUCAGAGGAAGCCCCGGCUAACUCUGUGCCAGCAGCCGCGGUAAUACAGAGGGGGCAAGCGUUAUUCGGAAUUAUUGGGCGUAAAGGGCGCGUAGGCGGCCUUGUAAGUCUUGGGUGAAAUCCCUCAGCUCAACUGAGGAACUGCCUCGGAUACUGCAGGGCUUGAGGCCGGGAGAGGGUAGUGGAAUUCCCAGUGUAGCGGUGAAAUGCGUAGAUAUUGGGAGGAACACCGGUGGCGAAGGCGGCUACCUGGACCGGUUCUGACGCUGAUGCGCGAAAGCGUGGGGAGCAAACAGGA